UACGUAGGGGGCAAGCGUUGUCCGGAUUCAUUGGGCGUAAAGAGCGUGUAGGCGGCCAGGUAGGUCGGUUGUGAAAACUGGAGGCUCAACCUUCAGAGGUCGACCGAAACCAUCUGGCUAGAGUCCGGGAGAGGAGAGUGGAAUUCCUGGUGUAGCGGUGAAAUGCGCAGAUAUCAGGAGGAACACCGGUGGCGAAGGCGACAUCCUGGACCGGUAUUGACGCUGAGGCGCGAAAGCCAGGGGAGCAAACGGG
rnacentral:rRNA from 1 species